UACGUAGGGGGCGAGCGUUGUCCGGAUUUAUUGGGCGUAAAGAGCGUGUAGGCGGUUCGGUAAGUCUGUCGUGAAAUCCUGAGGCUCAACCUCGGGCGUGCGAUGGAUACUGCCGGGCUAGAGGGUGGUAGAGGCGAGUGGAAUUCCCGGUGUAGCGGUGAAAUGCGCAGAUAUCAGGAAGAACACCCGUGGCUAAGGCGGUUCUCUAGUACGGUACUGACGCUGAGACGCGAAAGCGUGGGGAGCGAACAGG
rnacentral:rRNA from 1 species